rnacentral:tRNA from 1 species
GGGUGAUUAGCUCAGUGGUAGAGCGCUUCGUUCACAUCGAAGAUGUCAGGGGUUCAAAUCCCUUAUCACCCACCG